rnacentral:snRNA from 1 species
AUACUUAGUGGGAGGGGUAGUAAAUGCCAUGAUCAUGAAGGUGGUUUUCCCAGGACAAAACUUAUCCAUUGCACUCUAGAUGUGCUGACCCCUGCUAUUUCCCCCAAAUGUGAGAAACUCAACUGCAUAAUUUGUGGUAGUGAGGGACUGAGUUUAUGCUCUCA